rnacentral:tRNA from 1 species
GCCUGGGUGGCUCAGUCGGUUGAGCGUCCGACUUCAGCUCAGGUCACGAUCUCGCGGUUCGUGAGUUCGAGCCCCGCGUCAGGCU